rnacentral:lncRNA from 1 species
GUGGCUGUCUGGUCACUACUGAGAGACUGUCGGUGGCUGUCUGGUCAUUACUGAGAGAAUGUCGGUGGCUGGCCAUCCUGUCUGGUCACUACUGAGAGACUGUCGGUGGCUGGCCAUCCUGUCUGCACUAUGUGUGCAAAGCUGUCAUCAAGGCAAAGGGUGGCUACUUUGAAGAAUCUAAAAUAUAUUUUGAUUUGUUUAACGUUUUUUUGGUUACUACAUGAUUCCAUGUGUUAUUUCAUAGUUUUGAAGUCUUCACUAUUAUUUUACAAUGUAGAAAAUAGUUAAAAAAAAAACUGGAAUGAGUAGUUUUGUCCAAACUUUUGACUGGUACUGUAUAUGGACAAAAUCAUCAUGGUGCUUUUUGAUGCCAAGUUUACAAACAUUGGUUGUGGUAAGUAUAAUAUAAACUUUGGUAUCAUUAUGGUAAGGCGGGAAUUAAGUAUAGCCAGUUAUUGCUUAGCAGAUCAUUAAAAUAAAAGAGAGAAUAUAAUAUCUAUUGUUUUACAGGAAACUCACUCUGUAGAUGAGGUUGGGAGAAAUAUAUUUUGUCGCGGGCUAAGAAACUCAAAAGGUUUGACUGUAUUAACAACAAUGUUUAUAUGAUUGUGCAAACUGAUCGUCAAGGAAGAUGGAUCCUUUUAAAAAUGUUAUUGGACCAAAAACAGAUCUUGAUAAUUAAUCUAUAUGGGCCAAAUGAUCCACACUUAUUAGAAUAUAUAUAUAUAUUGAGCUCACAAGCAACGAAUUAAUCUAUUAUUAUGGUGGGAGAUUUUAAUGCUCUUUUAAGUACAUCCAUGGAUCGUAAAGAAAUCACACUACAGACUAUCACCCUCUUAAUGAAAUCACAAAUAUCAUAAUAUAUUAUGGAGGUUUAAUAUCCUAUCCUAGUGAGAUAUACAUGGAGGUUUAACAUCCUGACCUAGAGAGAUAUACAUGGAGGAGGUUUAAUAGCCUGACCUAGUGAGAUCUACAUGAAGGAGGUUUAAUAUCCUGACCUUGUGAGAUAUACACGGAGGAGGUUUAAUAUCCUGACCUAGUGAGAUAUACACGGAGGAGGUUUAAUAUCCUGACCUAGUGAGAUAUACACGGAGGAGGUUUAAUAUCCUGGCCUAGUGAGAUAUACACGGAGGAGGUUUAAUGUCCUGACCUAGUGAGAUAUACACGGAGGAGGUUUAAUAUCCCGACCUAGUGAGAUAUACAUAAAGGUUUAAUAUCCUGACCUAGUGAGAUAUACACAGAAGUUUAAUAUCCUGACCUAGUGAGAUAUACACGGAGGAGGUUUAAUAUCCUGACCUAGUGAGAUAUACAUGGAGGAGGUUUAAUAUCCUGACCUAGUGAGAUAUACAUGGAGGAGGCUUAAUAUCCUGUUUUUAACAACCUGUUUUUAACGAAGACAACAUUAUUUAUAAUUGACUUUUUUCUGCACAACAUAUGUACAGCACAUCCCCUCAUUGUAUGGGACACUUUCAAAUGUACUUUUAGAGGCCAUUCAAUACAAUACUCAUCAUUAAAACAAAAGCAAAUUAGAGGCACAACAUACUGUAGGUUAUAGGAAAUAACAGCAGGGAGAUAGUAAUGGUAACUACUAUAGAGGCACAAAAUAGGUUAUAGGAAAAACAAAAGGAAUUGGGGGGACUUAAAAGCGAAUUGGAUGGUAAAUGAUGAAAAAUGCACAAAAUUAUUUUUUUAUCUUCAACAUCAAAAUGCUAUGAAAAAGAGUUUACAGAAACUCGUUACAAAUGUUGGAGUCAUCCAUGAUUCACCAAAUUAUACUAUACUUUGAAAUAGGAAGCUAAAUAUUUUAAGCGUAUCAUUUAUUCAGUCUCCACUGAAUGAUUUUAACUGUAAGGAUUUAUUUCCUAAUAAUAAUGUAGAAUUAACAAAUGUACAGAAAGAUUAAAUAUUUUCAGUCUGGAAAAACACCAGGGCUUGACAGUAUACCAGUAGAGGUAUAUCAGACCUUUUUUGAUGUACUCAAAUAUCCAUUAUUAGCAUGUUUUAAUUACUCCUAUAAAAAUGGCAGACUUUCAGGUACUCAACAAGGUCUGAUUUCAUUACUACUGAAACAGGACCCUUGUGGUAAGGUAUAAAGAUCCAGUCCAUUUAAACAACUGGAGACCUCUAAUGCUUCAAUGUUGUGAUGUGAAAAUCCUGGCGAGAUGAAAAGCACAUAGAACAAAACAGGUUUUUACCAGAUAUUGUUCAUCCUGAUCAGACAGGUUUUUUACAUUGACAAUAUAUUGGAGAUAUUAUUAGACAAUUACUUGAAACAAUUGAGCAUUAUGAAACAUCAAAGAUACCAGGCCUGGUCUUCAUAGCAGAUUUCGAAAAGGCAUUUGAUAAAGUAAGUCUAAAAUGUAUAUAUAAAUGCCUGGACUACUUUAAUAUCAGUGAAUCUCUUAUACAAUGGGUUAAAGUUAUGUACAGCAACCCCAGGUGUAAAAUAGUCUCAGAAAGUAUUGAGCUUUUAAGAGGAGUAAAACAAGGUUGUCCGUUGUCGCCAUAUCUAUUUAUUAUGGUCAUUGAAAUGCUAGAUAUUAAAAUUAGAUCCAACAAGAACAUUAAGGGGUUAGAAAUCCAGGGUUAAAAACAAGUGUCAAUGUAUGCCGAUUUUAGUUUUUUUCUUAAGUCCACAAUCUGGAUCCCUGCACAGUCUCAUUAAAGAUCAUGUUUCUAGCCUCUGGACUAAAACCUAAUUAUGACAAGUAUAUCAUAUUACGCGUUGGAUCGUUAAAAUACGGUGUUUACACUGCUUUGCAGUUUACCAAUAAAAUGGGCGGAUGGUGAAGUAGACAUACUUGGUAUUCAUAACUCAAAAAAUGUUAAUGAGUUUGGUUGUGUUAAUGUCAAUAGAAUGUUUUCAAAAAUAGAUACAAUUCUGCAAACAUGGAGAGGUAAAUACUUGCUUAUUUAUGGAAAAAUCACAUUGAUUCACUUGUUGGUCCUAUCAGUUGACUUACUUACUAAUUGCACAGCCUACUCCAGACAAUCUUUUUUUAAUCAUAUGAGCAAAACAAAUAUUUCACUUAUUUGAAAUGCUAUGCCAGACCAAAUUAAACGUACCUAUUUAUGAGUUUGAGGGCCUAAAAUCAUUAAAUAUUGAUUAAAUAUUAAACCUCACUAAAGGAUUCACUCAUAAGUUAUACUUAAACCCCAAAUUGUUCUCCAGUAGAUUAUUAAGAAAGGCUCAUUUAUUGAAAAAUGACUUUUUGCGUUUAAACAGAUUACAACUUCUAAUUUCUGACUAAUUGAAAAUGAAACUUUGUUUUAAGUAUCAUCCUUUCUUAAACAAGCCAUACAAAGCUGGUUACAAUUUCAAUGUUAUCCUACAGAAGAGAUGGAACAAAUAUUAUGGUUAAACUGAAAUAUACUGAUUGAUUUAAAAAAAAAAAACGUUCUUUAUGGAUAAAAAAAAAGGUAUAUUUAUUAAUGAUAUUAUGAGUAGAAACAGAGGAGUUGUGUCAUAUGCAGCUAUCGAAAAUACAUGGGAAAUUCUGCUCAAUACAAAAAUGGCAAGUGGAAAAGGGCAAAGGUAGGGAACUUGUUUGCCUGCCAUAUAUUAAAGAUACAUAUUGGCUGAAAGGAACUGGCAUAAAUAGAAAAGUAUACCAGUUUCAUCUGAGGACAAAAAUGUUGACAGCUGCGUCAUUCAGGUUGUAAAAUAGUUGAGAAGAGAUUUCUGAUGUUUAAAAAAAUAAAUAAUGUAACCUUUAUUUAACUACGCAAGUCAGUUAAGAACAAAUUCUUAUUUACAAUGUCGGCCUUUACAAUGUACCGAUUCCUGACACUUGAUUCAAUUAAUAUUCAACAUUCUUGCCACCAAAAUAUGCUAUAUAUAAACUGAAUAAAAAUAUAAAUGCAACGUGUAAAGUGUUGGUCCUAUGUUUCAUGAGUUGAAAUAAAAGAUGAACAAAAAGCAUAUUUCUCAAAUGUUGUGUACAAAUUUCUUUACAUCCUUGUUAGUGAGCAUUUCUCCUUUGCCAAUAUAAUCCAUCCACCUGACAUGUGUGGCAUAUCAAGAAUCUGAUUAAACAAUAUGAUCAUUACACAGGUGCACCUUGUGCUGUGGACAAAAGGCCACUCCAAAAUGUGCGGUUUUGUCACACAACACAAUGCCACAGAUGUCUCAAGUUUUGAGGGAGCGUGAAAUUGGCAUGCUGACUGCAGGAAUGUCCGCCAGAGCUGUUGCCAAAGAAUUGAAUGUUAAUUUCUCUACCAUAAGCCACCAAUGUCGUUUUAGAGAAUUUGGCAGUACGUCCAACCGGCCUCACAACCGCAGACAACGCCAGCCCAGGACUUCCACAUCCGACUUCUUCACCUGUGAGAUCGUUUGAGGUGGAGGAGUAUUUCUGUCUGUAAUAAACAAUUUUUUUCAGAAAAGUGUCAUUUUGAUUGGCUUGGCCUGGCUCCCCAGUGUGUGGGCCUGGCUCCCAGGUGUGUGGGUGGAUGACCCAUGGCUGUGCCCCUGCCCAGUCAUGUGAAACCA